CCCCCCUUUACAAAAUGCUGUGCUAAGUGUCUCAUGGGGUUGGCCCAUGCUGGGAUCAUGUGACUGGAGGCCUCCUGAUGUUAAAUGGACUUCUAACGAGAAUUAUUGAAUGUUCUAGAAAAGAAACUACUAAAAUGGGGAGAACAUUUUUUUUUUUUUAACACAGGCCUACAAUUGGAUCCAUUGAAAUCCAAAACUACUGGACAAUGGACUCAUUGGUACGGGUGCGGUCAGUCGUGAAGCUUGUUCAUCUUGUGCUUUUGUUGGGUCUAGUUGAACAUUUAUCAAAUCACAGAGCCGAGUGUUGGGAGAUGGACACGUUUGUUGACUGAGUAUGCCCCGUCUCGUAUUUACUCUCUCUUACUGGACAGUAUUCCUCAAGGAUUGCCUUUCCCUCGGCAUUCGCCACAAAAGACAACAUUGAGGACGACCUUGACACAGAAGACCAGAUUCUUCAGUGUUGCAGAACGAUGCUGCGCUGACCACCAGAGAUUCACAGAAGGAUACCUCAUGGACACCACCACCUCAUUGCUCUGUCCAUGUAGCGGCCUCUCUGCUGGACGACUGUCUGCGGUGUAUUGGCGGCCGAGGCCUGUGUGCUCUCAUACCCUGUUGGACUGGAUCACAGCUGGACAUGGGAUGGUCUCAGAGGGGAGCAGACGGUAGAGGAGAGCCUCCCAGAAACCAGCUUUGUCCCAGUCCUGGGCUGAGGGUGAGAUGGAACCCAGCUGACUAAGGUCUCAACCAGGAGUUAACACACACCUUGUGAACAUGGACUCUCAAAAUGACUGAACAUAUACAACUAUGCUCAUGCACACACACACACACACACACACACACACAACUGGUUGGCAAGUUUCAACUCCUGGAUAUAAAUAGUCAAUGAUUAAUUCCUCUUUACUCAUUUUUGUUUGGUUAUUUGAAACUUUUUGGUUUUACUUGCCUUAAAUGUACAGAAUUAAAUUGCCCAUGUGUGAUGUCCCCUUCCCCACCAUCCCUAAGUAAUGCUUGACCUGGUGAAGUGUAUCCAAUGAUUUCUGGCGUUGGGUUGUUUUGGGACAACAUUUGCCCUUCUAACUGAGCAGUAAAAUUGCAGUAAUUGGGAUUAAAGUGAGUGCUGUAAAAAUGUAAAUAUAAUGUUAAAGCUAUUAGAGCAAUGUCUGUCAUGCAGAAUUGGUUCAUUCGUUUUGGGGGAAAUGUUAUGGGAUUUGACUCUUCUGCUACUCUACCACAGCAGCAUUUGAGAUGGGGAGGGGGGGGGGAAAUUGUGUAUAUAGUUUUCCUUUUGAAUAGACGUGUUACAGAAUAAAUAAACUGUGUGGAAUGCAAUAUGAAUGUGUUGUCAUAACUUCGCUAUUACAUAUUGUUUUAAAGGGAAGACCGACUAACAGGACGUCCUUUCCCGACGAUUCCACAUGUUGAAUUGCCACUGUUCGUCGACGCUCAGCUGUGAUCUACUGCGCACGUCCGACGUUCUUGGUGGUCGGUCUUACCUCUUACGUAUUACCAAAGACUGUACAAUAUGUGAUAUUACACUGCCUGCGGUUUUACAUGUUGCCCACGUGGGGGCAUGGUAGGUUCAGUUUUGUUGUCCUAUACUCUGCACUCUACUCCGCUCUCUUUUCUGCUUUUCCAAUCAUGAAACUACUAGAAAUUAGUUGCUGAAUUGUUAUAUUAUAAAUGAAUAGCAUCUGUUACAGAAUAACGGCUGGGGGAGCUACAAGCUUGUUACUGCACAUCUUGCAUUUCUUAACCAAC
rnacentral:lncRNA from 1 species